GCAAGCCGCAUCUAUUACUAGAGCAGAAGAGGAUGGCAUACUUGUGGGGGAUGGUAUUGAUUAUGAGGUUCCUGGCAAAGGCCUAAACCGAAGUUCUAUUUUAGAAGACAUGGAAAGCCUAUUUUAAAGGAAGCGCUGAAAUUAGCCAAUACGUGUGGCUAGCCUGAAUCUCACUAAGCUCCAAGCAGUUGCAUUAAAUCAACAUGUGACAUUCUUCUUAAUAGGUCUUUUCAUCACUUGAUGGUCAUGCUUCUUUGCAUUCAAGCGUUUUGUUAGAUUUACAAAGAGAAUGAUGAAGCUUGUUGGUUUCCAUCAUAUUCAUCAGGUUUUUAAUUCUUCUAUGAGUGAGAUUUUUCUUAACACUUUUCUUGUUAUUAAUUGAUCAUGAAAUUAUUGUUUUGAAUUUUAAGGAUCUUAUUUGAUUAUAUUGGGGGUUGAUAUGUGGAGAUUUUAUUGUUCCCUUUUAAUUAUAAUACCAUGCAGUUACCAUUUGUGAUGGUUCAACAUAUAUACUUGCUGUUUUUUAUUAUACUUGUCCAUCAUGUUUGUUUGCCUCUGCUUAUUUCAAUGGUUUACUAGUUUUAGUUAAUUACUUUAAAGAUACACUAUUAGAAUGAUGUGAAUAGUUUUUCAUUUCUAUGAAGGGGAAUAGUUUCUAUGAUAAUGUUACAUUGAAUUUAUUAGUUGUAGUUGUAGAUUGUAACUUAAUUUUUUAUGGUACACUAGAUAAAAAUUAUCCAAUUAGUUGAGGUGAUUUGGUGUCCCUUGGGAGAUAUAGAAUGGCGACUUCUCUUUUUAGUGGCUUUAGUACAAUAGUCGGCUACAUUGGUUUAUUUUGUGUGACCUAAUCUAUUGGAUAUCAUGUAGAGCAUUUCUAACGAUGCAAACUAUUUGCAUAAUUUGGUCCAAUUUGAAUGGUCCAUCG